rnacentral:rRNA from 1 species
ACGAACGCUGGCGGCGUGCUUAACACAUGCAAGUCGAACGGAAAGGCCCUGCUUUUGUGGGGUGUUCGAGUGGCGAACGGGUGAGUAACACGUGAGUAACCUGCCCUUGACUUUGGGAUAACUUCAGGAAACUGGGGCUAAUACCGGAUAGGAGCUCCUGCUGCAUGGUGGGGGUUGGAAAGUUUCGGCGGUUGGGGAUGGACUCGCGGCUCAUCAGCUUGUUGGUGGGGUAGUGGCUUACCAAGGCUUUGACGGGUAGCCGGCCUGAGAGGGUGACCGGCCACAUUGGGACUGAGAUACGGCCCAGACUCCUACGGGAGGCAGCAGUGGGGAAUAUUGCACAAUGGGCGGAAGCCUGAUGCAGCAACGCCGCGUGCGGGAUGACGGCCUUCGGGUUGUAAACCGCUUUCGCCUGUGACGAAGCGUGAGUGACGGUAAUGGGUAAAGAAGCACCGGCUAACUACGUG